UUCAUUUUAUACACAUUUCGUAUGACAGAUGUCAAAAUCAAAGUAAAUUUGUUUCUAUUUUAUAUUUAUGGAUGGGAAAAAAUGUGCAAAAAUUGUAGCGAUCUUACCAUUCGAUUGGAGUGCAUCAUAUGGUCCAUUGCCGAAAUAGUAUUCAGUGUGGCCUUUAUAGGUUUUAUUUGUGGACGCCAUGAGGUUCACAACAUUAUCCUUUUGGCAGCCUUGAGCCUCGGAAUUCUGGCAGGAUUUUGCCUCUUGCUGGGUGCUAUCCUGUUUCCAGAGAAAGCGCUUUCUAGUGCUGACCUGGAUAGUGCUGAUAUGUCCAACGAUUGUCAUAGUUAUCAGUAUGUCCUGCCUCAUACUGAAAGAGAACUGGAACUUUCUUCCUGGGUUCGAUAAGGCGCGGAAGAUAAUUGCGUUGAUCAUAAUCGUGUGUUGGAUCAUAUACAUGGUAUAUUUAUCAUGUCUAUUUAUUCGCGAAAUCAAGACGGGAGAAAGGCAGAAGCGUUAUCCGGACUGUGUUGGGGGACAUUAUCCCCGAGGAGCGCUCCGCGAAAGGACAAGAUCUAAUUUACAAGACAAUUCAGCAAUUGCAGUGAAAUUAUGAUAAUAAAAACUUUAAAACCUGCCGUUGGUUUAUUUAACUUUA